rnacentral:rRNA from 1 species
GAUGAACGCUAGCGGCAGGCUUAAUACAUGCAAGUCGAGGGGCAGCGGGAGUAGCAAUACUUGCCGGCGACCGGCGCACGGGUGCGUAACACGUAUGUAAUCUGCCCAUCACAGGAGGAUAGCCCGGAGAAAUUCGGAUUAAUACUCCAUAAUAGAAGAUAAAGCAUUUUAUUUUCUUGAAAGUUCCGACGGUGAUGGAUGAACAUGCGACUGAUUAGUUUGUUGGUGAGGUAACGGCUCACCAAGACUACGAUCAGUAGGGGUACUGAGAGGUUAAACCCCCACACUGGUACUGAGACACGGACCAGACCU